GAUGAACGCUGGCGGCGUGCUUAACACAUGCAAGUCGAACGGGACUAUUUUCAAACAAGGCUUCGGCUGCGGGAGGAUUUAGUCUAGUGGCGGACGGGUGAGUAACGCGUGAGCAACCUGCCUUUCAGAGGGGGACAACAGCUGGAAACGGCUGCUAAUACCGCAUAUUGCAUAUUGGUCGCAUGGCCGAUAUGUGAAAGAUUUAUCGCUGAAAGAUGGGCUCGCGUCUGAUUAGCUAGUUGGUGGAGUAACAGCCUACCAAGGCAAUGAUCUAUAGCUGAUCUGAGAGGAUGAUCAGGCACACUGGAACUGAGAUACGGUCCAGACUCCUACGGGAGGCAGCAGUGGGGAAUAUUGGACAAUGGGCGAAAGCCUGAUCCAGCCAUGCCGCAUGAGUGAAGAAGGCCUUUGGGUUGUAAAGCUCUUUUAGUGAGGAAGAUAAUGACGGUACUCACAGAAGAAGUCCUGGCUAACUCCGUGCCAGCCGCCGCAGUAAAAC
rnacentral:rRNA from 1 species